rnacentral:rRNA from 1 species
AUUGAACGCUGGCGGCAUGCUUUACACAUGCAAGUCGAACGGCAGCACGGGUGCUUGCACCUGGUGGCGAGUGGCGGACGGGUGAGUAAUGCAUCGGAACGUGUCCUGAAGUGGGGGAUAACGCAUCGAAAGAUGUGCUAAUACCGCAUAUUCUCUGAGGGGGAAAGCGGGGGAUCGUAAGACCUCGCGUUAAUGGAGCGGCCGAUGCCGGAUUAGCUAGUUGGUGAGGUAAAGGCUCACCAAGGCGACGAUCCGUAGCUGGUCUGAGAGGACGACCAGCCACACUGGAACUGAGACACGGUCCAGACUCCUACGGGAGGCAGCAGUGGGGAAUUUUGGACAAUGGGCGCAAGCCUGAUCCAGCCAUUCCGCGUGAGUGAAGAAGGCCUCGG